UGUAUUAACGAGAUCAGAUCUUUUCUUCACAUAAUUCAAGGUGCCGGAGAACAGCAAGCCCAUUCAUGAGGAUGGAGACUGCCACUCAGCCCUCUGAGUGUCUCAUUUGAGAACAAUAGGUGAGUUACCACGUUUGUGUGGAGCUGACACGUUUAUCCUCCUGUAUCCAGAGCAGCUACUAAAUCUUCUCAGCUCUAAUGCCAGCCGGGGACUGACCCCAGGGCUUGAACUCUGGCAAUACUGAAGGAUCUAUGUGCUAUUGACGCUGAUGCUCUUUGGUCGAGAACUGACUUUCAAAGGUUUACCUCCAGCAUUCAUAUUAAACAUGCAAAAGGAAGGUUCUGCUAAGUCAUUUUCAGUGAAAUAUUUAGCAUUUCCAGUAAAACAGGCCAGUGUGUGUGUGUGUGUGUGUGUGUGUGUGUGUGUGUGUGAGAGAGAGAGAGAGAGAGAGCACAAAUGCUCUCAGAGUUGACUCACGGCAAACAGCUAUUUCGAGCUCAGCAUCUCUGUAAAUAGGGAUUGUAAACUGUGCGCAUCUCAAGUGUUCUCUUUCAAUACAGCUACACUGCACAGAGACUGAGGCAGCUGUCAGGGAGGUCAGUCAGGGAUGCUCAGACUGUAGGACCAGCUGUGGCUCUGGCUUGGAAACAGGAAAUAAGAAACGUGCAGAAUGGUGUCUUGCGCUGGCACCUCCCAGCCCCUCCAAUGUUCUGGAGUCACCUUCCCAAGGCCUCCCUUCUCCACCCACCUCUUGGCUGAGAUUGGCCUGAGUUGUCACUUGCUAAGAUGCAAAUAUCCUCUGAGUGUGGAACACGUACCCACCCCUAUAGCAGAACUCCUGUUCUAUUUUUUUUUUAGCAUGACAGUCACCUAAAAGCAACUUUGAACAGCAUGUAGGGGUGAGAGCGACAUGCCCAGGGAAGGUUGGAUGGCACAAGAAGGAGAUGCUGAUGCAGGGACCAAGCAGAGGAUGUUCUCCAAAGUGAGGGCAGAGACCCGGAGAGAUGGUUGGCGACUCUGCUUCCAGUGCAGUGAGAGCCUCUGGGUGACCAGAGCUACGCCAGGACGCCUGCAGCCAAGCAAGGGGAAGAAACCUCCUGCAAGACAGCGGAUCUUCCCAUUAUUAUUCACUUCUGGUAACAUGUUACAAAACUGAAACUCUGUCCUCAUGAAAUACUAAGUUCCUCUCUCCCCGGGCCCCCAGUCCUCAGCCCACUGACUUUAUAUCUCUAUGAAACCAACUUGACAAUUCUAGGAACUUCCUGUGGGUAGAACCAUCCAGCACCUGCCCUCUGGUGACAUCAACACAAUGUUUUCCAGGUUCACCCACGGUGCAGCAUGGGUCAGCACCUCAUUCCUCUUUAUGGCUAGUGUUUAAUGAGUGCAGAGUCUCACCUGGGGACGGCAAGAAGGCUCCAGAGCCAGAUGGAUGGUGAUGGUCAUUACACAAUAACGUGCUCACUGCCAUGAAGUUGCAUAUUUGAAAAGGGUUAAAAUGGUGGAUUUUAUGUAUCUUUUGUACAAUGAAUAGCAAAGAAAAAGAAAUGUUCUUGCUUAUACAGUCCUUGGAAGAUACACAGCUUGUGAGGGCAGUUUUAACUGAGUGUGGGAUAAGAAUGUAUCUAAGCUAUAAAUAAAGGAGACAGAUAUAAAAGAAAUGCAACUUGCUCCCUUCCAUGUGCUCAACUGGCUGCUUGGACAUGUGGCUUUGUAACCCCCAGUACUUCAAAAUGUGACAGUGUUUAAUGGGGUUUUUAUGAGUGAUUCCAUUAAAUUAGGUUAAAUAAGAGAUGUGCUCGCAAGCACACACACACACACACACACACACACACACACACACACACACACACACUCAGCAAUACACUCACAGAUCUAUAUACAUUAAGAAAAAUAAAUCUUAAAACAAAUGAAAUGAGGUUAUUAAGGCCAACUUAAUCCAGUAUUUCUGGUGUCUUUACCUGAAGAGAAACUUUGGACAUGGGCACAAAUAGAAAAACCAUGAUACUUCCAAAAACAAAACUAAACAAAACAAAAACAAAAACAAAAAAAAG
rnacentral:lncRNA from 1 species